rnacentral:lncRNA from 1 species
AAAACACACAUACAUAAAAUCAAGUGCCAAAAAAAAAAAAAAACGCAAUUCUCUCUCAAUUUCUAGGCACCAAACAACCACCCUGUGAUGAAAUUGUCCCACCUGAUUGUGUGACUUUGCACUAAAGAAGAAGAAGAAGAAGAAGAAGAAGAAGAAGAAGAAGAAGAAGAAGAAGAAGAAAGUGGAAUCUAGUAUGCAAAACCUUGUGUCUUUCAUGCAAGAAGACGAUUACCAGUGAUUAGAAUCAUAGUUAAAAAUAUUCCUAUUACGGGGAUCCCUGGGUGGCGCAGCAGUUUGGCACCUGCCUUUGGCCCAGGGCGCGAUCCUGGAGACCUGGGAUCGAAUGCCGCGUCGGGCUCCCAGUGCAUGGAGCCUGCUUCUCCCUCUGCUUGUGUAUCUCCCUCUCUCUCUCUGUGUGUGACUAUCAUAAAUAAAUAAAAAUUUAAAAAAAUAUUCCUAUUAAAAAUACAUAGAAAUCAUAACUAUUGUCUUAUUGCCUCAAGAAAAUGAGAUUAAAGAUGGCUCUUCUUUACUAGGAUAUAAUUCCGUGUCAUAACUCUAUAUCGGGACAUAACUGACGUGUUUAGAUUCAGGGUGUAAUGGGGAUGCAAGAUAUGAAUCC